CUUCGGCCAACUUCAUGUGGUCGGAUUGGAGGCCGUUGUGUGCUCCCAGAGCCAAGGUUCCUCCCAAAAAGCAUACCAAAUGGUCCUGCAUAAUCGAGAUAACGGUAAAAAGUUUGAACACACUGCUUCAAAUAUUCAAAUGUCUGUAACCACUGUUUCAACAAAUAUUCAUAGUAACUGUCCCCUCGUGCGCCGAACGAGAUUGUUGACAAUUCUCUAAACGCUCCAGUGUUGGCGUUUAUAAAAAUUGGAACAAGUCCGUCGAAUUUCUUCAACUGAUGUACAUGCUCUGAAACCUUAGCUGCUGCUUCCUGAAACCAUUCAUAAAUAUGAAAUUUAGAAAAAUUUAACACAGAUAAAGUACCUCAAACUUUGACUGGCCUGAAACACGGCUAAGAUCGCGAAACUCCAACUGUAUUGUGGUAACUUCACUGGUACUACUGUCAGGGCCCC
rnacentral:lncRNA from 1 species